UGGGCCGGCCCAUGAGCUAAACACAAACAAACGGGGAAAAGAUAGCACUCGGGGAUCGACAGGGCGGAGAGCGUAGGUGGAGAGGAGGGCAGAUCGACGCAGACCGGGUGGCGCGGCUGCGGCUCGAUCUGAGGAGCAUGAGAAACAACAGAGAAGAGAACAGAGGCAAGGCAAGCGCUCAGAUGGACUGGCGGCUCUUCUGAAAUUUGUGAGAGUGGCGGACGAUAUCUCAUUGGAAGCUACAACUUUCUGGUUUGGACACCAAAAUAAUUAACGAAACAGGGCUACAGCGUUGCUCUUCCUGAAAAGUUGCAAACUGGAAAGUAGAACAUGUACCGUAUUCGCAGAUCUGCAGAGUCACCUCUGUGCUUUGUUAACAGAUUUCCUGGCACCUUAGACAUUGGAGCGCUGCAUGAUAAUUUUGAGUUUGUAUAUUCACAAUCACUUGAACAUGUGAACUUCCAUUUCUUUGGUAUUCAUCUCAACUUAGUCAUAUACAUGUACUAACUAUGUUAGCACACUCUCAUUUUGAAUGAUUAUGCUGUAAUAGCUUUUCAGAUUAUGUCCUGUUUAGAAGAUCUGCUGAUUAUGUCCUUCUUAUUUGCUGAAUAUAUGCUAGAAAGAUGGAAUUUUCUGGACAAUAA